GGAAUCUGCCUAUUAGUGGGGGACAACGUUCCGAAAGGGACGCUAAUACCGCAUACGUCCUACGGGAGAAAGCAGGGGAUCUUCGGACCUUGCGCUAAUAGAUGAGCCUAAGUCGGAUUAGCUAGUUGGUGGGGUAAAGGCCUACCAAGGCGACGAUCUGUAGCGGGUCUGAGAGGAUGAUCCGCCACACUGGGACUGAGACACGGCCCAGACUCCUACGGGAGGCAGCGGGGAAUAUUGGACAAUGGGGGCAACCCUGAUCCAGCCAUGCCGCGUGUGUGAAGAAGGCCUUUGGUUGUAAAGCACUUUAAGCGAGGAGGAGGCUUACCUGGUUAAUACCUGGGAUAAGUGACGUUACUCGCAGAAUAAGCACCGGCUAACUCUGUGCCAGCAGCCGCGGUAAUACAGAGGGUGCAAGCGUUAAUCGGAUUUACUGGGCGUAAAGCGCGCGUAGGUGGCUAAUUAAGUCAAAUGUGAAAUCCCCGAGCUUAACUUGGGAAUUGCAUUCGAUACUGGUUAGCUAGAGUAUGGGAGAGGAUGGUAGAAUUCCAGGUGUAGCGGUGAAAUGCGUAGAGAUCUGGAGGAAUACCGAUGGCGAAGGCAGCCAUCUGGCCUAAUACUGACACUGAGGUGCGCAUGGGGAACAGGAUUAGAUACCCUGGUAGUCCAUGCCGUAAACGAUGUCUACUAGCCGUUGGGGCCCUUGAGGCUUUAGUGGCGCAGCUAACGCGAUAAGUAGACCGCCUGGGGAGUACGGUCGCAAGACUAAAACUCAAAUGAAUUGACGGGGGCCCGCACAAGCGGUGGAGCAUGUGGUUUAAUUCGAUGCAACGCGAAGAAACCUGGCUUGACAUACAGAGAACUUUCCAGAGAUGGAUUGGUGCCUUCGGGAACUCUGAUACAGCUGCAUGGCUGUCGUCAGCUCGUGUCGUGAGAUGUUGGGUUAAGUCCCGCAACGAGCGCAACCCUUUUCCUUAUUUGCCAGCACUUCGGGUGGGAACUUUAAGAUACUGCCAGUGACAAACUGGAGGAAGGCGGGGACGACGUCAGUCAUCAUGGCCCUUACGCCAGGCUACACACGUGCUACAUGUCGGUACAAAGGGUUGCUACUGCCGAGCGAUGCUAAUCUCAAAAAGC
rnacentral:rRNA from 1 species